AAGGUAGCGCAAUCAAUUGGCUCUUAAUUGGAGUCGGGUAUGAAUGGAAUUACGGAGUUUUUCUGUCUCUUUAUUAAUUUUUUGAAAUUACUAUGCAGGUGAAAAAGCCUGAAUUUAGAAAAAAGACGAGAAGACCCUUAGAGUUUUACUUAAAUUGGGGAACAAUUUUAUACCUUUAAUGGUUUAGUUGGGGCAACAUAGGAGAAAACUAAUCUCCUUAAUAUAAUUGGCCGAUAAUUUUAAAUUUGGAUAAACUACCUUAGGGAUAACAGCAUAAUUUAUUAAUUAAGUUUGUGACCUCGAUGUUGGACUAGGAAACUUAAGGGCUAGCCGUUCUUAGGGAAAGUUCUGUUCGAACUAUUAUUCCUACAUGAUCUGAGUU
rnacentral:rRNA from 1 species